GAGUCGCGCUUCACCCUCUGCACGGGGCCCAGAGUCACGACGUUGUGCACCGCCGUCGCUGCUGACGAUCGCCGGUCCCAGCGGUCCCACCGCAAGAGUCUCGCCGAGUUUGCCCGACUGCAGUCCUGACACACACAAGGCAGGCGGAACACGCGCACGCGGAACCCCGCGCGGCUCGAGCUCCCAUUCUCCGUGAUGGUCAGUGUCUCCGCGGCCGUCGGGCACCUGGGAUGCGAGCGUUGGGAAACCGUCGCGGCUGGCCACAACGCAGCCAGCUGCACUUGCGCACAGCGCCCACGAGGUAAUCCCCAGCAAUCCACACGCGCCAUAGCCCAAGAUGCCGUACGAUUGAUGCCUCCGAUUGAUGCCUCGCACGCGGCCGGCUCGUGUUGGCUUCGCGUGCUCUGGACGUGAAGGACCUGACGACCCAGCCUAUGGCUCUUUGUGAGGAGCCGGCUUCUUCGGGUUGAUUUAUUGUUCCCGCGGCCCUUCCACGGCGGUUGAGCCCAACCCGCCUGGAGGACCGACGUCACGGACUCGUUCAAAGACUCGAUUCGCGUGAUCCUCGCGCAUUGCACACUUCCACACCAUCAUGGGUUGUCGCGCUCGCACGAGUCAUGGUGAGUAUUUGGCUGAUCCUGCUCGCCAUCGAGCUCACGGACAUUGUUACACAUUGUGGGUGGGAGAUGUUGAUUGUGGGGAUCUUUAACGACGCGAUUGUUAAUUAUUUUCUUUUCUCUCUCCGUGUAUAUGUUGUACAGUUGGGUUUGGGUAAUUCUUCAC